UACCCUGCUGAGAUUCUGGAAAAGGGCCACCAGAGUCCACCAGACCAUCUAGAUUUAUUUAGCCUUGAACUGCAGCCCCAGGUCUGUGCCCUACACAGGAGCAGACACUGAGACAACUGUGAUGCUUUGUGGGAGCCCCUGACAUGUACAUCAGGACUGAAAUGUCCUUGAGACUCUGAUUAAUAAAUUCUAUCCACAUGAGAAGAGGUGCUGUUACCUUUCAGAGUGCCCUUCGGCAUCUUCUGAAUUUGCCAGCAGAACACAGAUUCUUUCUAAGCAUUGCCCAGUGACUCAUUGCAAUCCACCCUUGGACAGCAGGGACAGCAGGAAGAUCUGCCACACUUCUCAGAAUUCUCUGGAAUGGAGCAGACGGGAGGUGGUAAGAGACCAGAGCCCGCGUGAGCAGAAGGAGGUUUGAUUUUUCCAAUAGAUUUCCCUUACCUGACAUUCUUCUUGAAAAAAAUGUGGAUGAGAACAGUAAUGCAGAUAAUCGAAGGGUUCCAGAAGCACCCACAAAGUCAUGGCUGGCUGGUGACCCAGGACAUUUGGAUGUGGCUGGAAGCCUCACUGAGCUGGAGAUAACGGAUCUGGGACUCAGUUUUGGCUGUGACAACAUAAUUAUAUUGUCACUGGGCAUUUCAACAAUCAAUCAAAACACUUUGAAAAGGAGCAGUAGAAUGGAUGAUAUGCAAGGCAGACAGGUAAAGCACCUCAUAGGACAGUGAGCUGCACUAGGGUAUAAAAAUCUCACAGCACAGCAAGUGCAGUUCAGAGAGGUCACUCGCCAGCCUGGGCUCUUGCUGUUGUCGGUAGACAGAACUGGAUAAGAGCCAGUUGUCAGUUCCCUUGGCUGAAGAGAGCUAUUUUUGUGAUCACUGUCUUCCAGGUAGAUCUAAACCUAUUGAUCUAUUAUGGUUUACACAAAGUGCUAAAAGAAAGGUCAUGGCAAAGUUUUAUUUUUGUCCUGUGGGAAGUUAAACUUCAAAGGAUAUAUAUAUAUAUAUAUA